rnacentral:snRNA from 1 species
GUGCUCUCUUCGGCAGCACAUACACUAAAA